GAUCAAUUAUUCUGGGUGACCACACCGGAACAUCAAUUCCCCGCUGCGAAUGUCAUGCGUCUUAGCUCCGCCCGCCCGCGCUGACUUGACACCAGUAAGCAACGAACACCGGGUGAGCGUCGACGAAUCGAGCUCAUCAACGGUCGUCUCCUUUUUUUUUCUUCUCAUGCUGAAAACGUGCACUCGUUUCUGGGCGAGGAGACCGCGGAGCACCGCAGUGAACGGGGCUUUGCCGCAGAUCCAGAGAGAGGAACCGGUUUGCUCUCCACUGCAUGUGCAAGACGAUGGAGGUGAAACUCGACCAGCAGGACGAAGAUAUCGCAUUCGGCAACACUGACGCUAAUGGUAAACGCCCAGCUGAGGACAUGGGCGAAGAACAUGCCUUCAAACGAUCUCGCAACGCGGAUGAGAUGGUGGAGCUGCGUGUGCUGCUCCAGAGCAAAAACGCUGGCGCUGUUAUCGGAAAAGGAGGCAAGAACAUAAAAGCCUUGCGCACAGACUACAAUGCCAGUGUAUCAGUCCCAGACAGCAGUGGCCCAGAGCGGAUCCUCAGCGUGAACGCCAGCAUCGAUACCAUCGGAGACAUUCUGCUGAAAAUCAUACCGACUCUGGAGGAGUACCAGCAUUACAGUGGGAUUGAUUUUGACUCAGAGCUUCGCCUGCUGAUCCAUCAGAGCUUGGCAGGGGGCAUCAUCGGGGUAAAAGGUGCCAAGAUAAAGGAGCUGAGAGAGAACACCCAGACCACGAUCAAGCUGUUCCAGGAGUGCUGUCCACACUCCACUGACCGAGUGGUCUUGGUGGGAGGAAAGCCGGAACGCGUCGUCGAAUGCAUAAAAGUGAUCCUGGCGCUGGUGUCAGAGGCGCCAAUCAAAGGUCGCGCCCAGCCGUACGACCCUAAUUUCUACGACGAGACGUACGACUACGGCGGCUUCACCAUGCUGUUCGAGGAGCGGGGCAGGCGGCCCAUCGGUGGCUUCCCCAUCCGCGUGCGCGGGGGCUUCGAGCGCAUGCCCCCCCCCGUUCGUGGAAACCGACCCAUGCCGCCCUCCAGGAGGGACUACGACGACAUCAGCCCCCGCCGCGGCCCCCCGCCGCCGCUGAGCAGAGGUGGACGAGGGGGAAGCCGAGCGCGUAACCUGCCUCUUCCCCUGCCCCCGCCGCCAAGAGGAGGGGGAGACCGGUUCUCGCAUGGCAGCUAUCACGGCGGCAUGGACGACAGACCAAGUGACAGAAGAGGCCGAGGAGGGGACCGCUACGACAGCAUGAGUGGAGGUGGAUAUGACAACAAUUCUUCCUGGGAGCACUUUCAGUCCGGCGGUCGAGGCUCAUACAGUGAUAUCGGAGGCCCGGUCGUCACAACACAAGUCACCAUCCCCAAAGAUCUGGCCGGCUCCAUCAUCGGUAAGGGCGGCCAGAGGAUCAAGCAGAUCCGCCACGAGUCUGGGGCGUCCAUCAAGAUUGAUGAACCACUAGAGGGCUCUGAGGACCGCAUCAUCACCAUCACGGGAACACAGGACCAGAUCCAGAACGCCCAGUACCUGCUGCAGAACAGGCAUGUGCUCUGUGACUCCCCCAAACAGCUCAUGUCAUGAGAGCGGCGGGCGUCUGGUUGGAAGUAAAGUUGGAAGUGAAACGCCCACGGACUUGUGUGAGGCAGUACUCUGGGCGCUUCUUCUAGGAAGAGAGAGAAGAAGAAAAAGAAGAAGAGUGAAGCCAAUGCUGCCAUACUGUUUCCUCCUCCUAUGCAGAGCAGGCAUUCCUCUGCUUGGCCUCCUCCCCUCUUUAUUGCACUCUACGCCAUCUAUCUAUACAUUUCAAUUUUUUUUAUUUCUAUGAUGAGGGGUUUAAAAAAAUUAAAUCUUAAACUGUCAAACAGCAAACGACAUGAUUCUGUGCUGGUGUAAUUAAUUUUUUUAAGGAGAUUCUUGUGGCGUCAUUGAAGUGAAAUCAUCCGUGUGAUGACUUGUUGGUGUCGUGAGCCGUCCCGGGCCCUCGACGCCAUGAUUUUGAGUACAGCAUGCGGAAUGUAAUCUGUUUUUGUUGUUGUAAGGAACAUGUGAGUUUUAGUUUAUGUCCUUCUCCCCGCCCUGCUCUCAAAACAUUCAGGCACACUAGUCUAAAUGAAGAUGCAUCGUGUUAAAGAACUUUUCUAUUUUCAGACAUCCAAUGUCUUUUUACUCUCAAACUGCUUUUUUUGGGGUUUACCGUUGGCUUCGAAGGAGUCGUUUGACAUUUCGGUUUGUUGUUGGUGCCCUAAACUUAACUCCUUCACGAUGCCCCCCUGAGAUUGGAAAGGGACCCACGGCGAGCCGAGAAGUGUUAAUGCGACACGUAGAGACAGAAAUGACAUGCUGUUGUGUAGAGACGAUCAAUAACAGAUGUUUAGUUUAAUAAAAGAACAAAGACGUGCUCUUUAAGAAAAGGACCUUAAAUUACUUCUGCUGUAAUCUGGCGCGAUAGGGAAAAUUACAGGGUGGCGGGCGGAGAUUUCAGGGGGGCGGGGCGCCACCCUGAAAGAAUGGUAGGGGAAACACUGCAGUGUGACAUAGAAAAAAAUAAUUUAAAGAUUUUGUGUUUUUCCUAGAAAGUCAAGGAGCUGUAUAAAGUGUGUAUAUAUUUACAUAGAAACAGUUAUUCCCGAAGUGGUUUAGGUUCGAUCGGCUACUUUCUGCUUUCUUGGAAGGAGAUGGCACCCGAAGACACGUUUUCUCUUUCUAUCGUUUUACUUUAUUUUCUGCCACUCGUGACUCUCUUGUCGUGCAACCUUAAUAAUACCGGAUCCAUUUGAUCCAUUUAUUCUUGCAUAAGUGUUCAUAAUUGUGCAAAAGCCUUUUUAAAGUUGUUUUUUUUGGGUUGGUGAACGCCUCAGAUGAACUUUGAUGUGAGGAGCCUACAGUUUGAGUAGUGAGUGGUGCUGUCAUCUCAUAUCUGUCGUACCUCCCUGCAGGUGUUUAGUAAAUAAAGUCUGUGUCACAGUU